AGAAACAUGUGUUUAACAUUAAUUGUGUUAAUCACUUAACUCUAGUUAACAUAUGGGCUGAGUCUUGCUGAGUCAUUUUCUCAGACUAUGUGGGUGAGGCUUAAUUAAAAACUAAGCAUAUUUGACAUCUCUUGCCUCUUCUGUAGAAGUCAGAGCAAAUAAUGGUUUCAUAUGUUUUAUUUAUUGUGUUUAAUAAAAGUUUUUCGUAGUGUAUUAUUUUAAGCAGAUUCCUUAUUCAGAAGAGAGAACAUGCUAUAUAUCAGGAACUACUGAUGCACUUUCUUGGAUUUUACUGCCAGUUUGAAUUUAAAACUUUGUGGUCAGGCAUGGUAGUGCACACCUAUGGUUCCAACUACUGAGGAGGCUGAUGGAGGAGAAUGGCUUGAAUCCAGGAGUUUCAGGCCAGUUUGAACACAGCAAGACCGUGUGUGUGUGUGUGUGUGUGUGUGUGUGAUGUUAGGGAUUGAAUCCAGGGCCUGGCUCAUGUGUUUUAAAAUUUUCAGUUGAUCCUACUUUCUUUUUGGGGGGAGGGGGGUGGUACCAGGGAUUGAACUCGGGAGCACUUGACCACUGACCCACAUCCCUAGCCCUAUUUAGUAUUUUAUUUAGAGACAGGGUCUCGAUGAGUUCCAUAUUAAUGCCUCACUUUUGCUGAGGCUGUCUUUGAACUCAUGAUCCUCUUGCCUCAGCCUCCUGAGCCAUGAUCCUAUUUAGUGCCUAAUAA
rnacentral:lncRNA from 1 species